rnacentral:rRNA from 1 species
UACGGAGGGGGCAAGCGUUGUUCGGAAUUACUGGGCGUAAAGGGCUCGUAGGCGGCCAACUAAGUCGGACGUGAAAUCCCCAGGCUCAACCUGGGAACUGCGUCUGAUACUGGAAAGCUCGAGUCCGGGAGAGGUGAGUGGAACUGCGAGUGUAGAGGUGAAAUUCGUAGAUAUUCGCAAGAACACCAGUGGCGAAGGCGGGUCACUGGCGCGGUACUGACGCUGAGGUGCGAAAGCGUGGGGAGCAAACAGG